rnacentral:rRNA from 1 species
GGUUAAGCGACUAAGCGUACACGGUGGAUGCCCUGGCAGUCAGAGGCGAUGAAGGACGUGCUAAUCUGCGAUAAGCGUCGGUGAGGUGAUAUGAACCGUUAUAACCGGCGAUUUCCGAAUGGGGAAACCCAGUGUGUUUCGACACACUAUCAUUAACUGAAUCCAUAGGUUAAUGAGGCGAACCGGGGGAACUGAAACAUCUAAGUACCCCGAGGAAAAGAAAUCAACCGAGAUUCCCCCAGUAGCGGCGAGCGAACGGGGAGGAGCCCAGAGCCUGAAUCAGUGUGUGUGUUAGUGGAAGCGUCUGGAAAGGCGCGCGAUACAGGGUGACAGCCCCGUACACAAAAAUGCACAUACUGUGAGCUCGAUGAGUAGGGCGGGACACGUGGUAUCCUGUCUGAAUAUGGGGGGACCAUCCUCCAAGGCUAAAUACUCCUGACUGACCGAUAGUGAACCAGUACCGUGAGGGAAAGGCGAAAAGAACCCCGGCGAGGGGAGUGAAAAAGAACCUGAAACCGUGUACGUACAAGCAGUGGGAGCCUCUUAAUGGGGUGACUGCGUACCUUUUGUAUAAUGGGUCAGCGACUUAUAUUCUGUAGCAAGGUUAACCGAAUAGGGGAGCCGAAGGGAAACCGAGUCUUAACUGGGCGUUAAGUUGCAGGGUAUAGACCCGAAACCCGGUGAUCUAGCCAUGGGCAGGUUGAAGGUUGGGUAACACUAACUGGAGGACCGAACCGACUAAUGUUGAAAAAUUAGCGGAUGACUUGUGGCUGGGGGUGAAAGGCCAAUCAAACCGGGAGAUAGCUGGUUCUCCCCGAAAGCUAUUUAGGUAGCGCCUCGUGAAUUCAUCUCCGGGGGUAGAGCACUGUUUCGGCAAGGGGGUCAUCCCGACUUACCAACCCGAUGCAAACUGCGAAUACCGGAGAAUGUUAUCACGGGAGACACACGGCGGGUGCUAACGUCCGUCGUGAAGAGGGAAACAACCCAGACCGCCAGCUAAGGUCCCAAAGUCAUGGUUAAGUGGGAAACGAUGUGGGAAGGCCCAGACAGCCAGGAUGUUGGCUUAGAAGCAGCCAUCAUUUAAAGAAAGCGUAAUAGCUCACUGGUCGAGUCGGCCUGCGCGGAAGAUGUAACGGGGCUAAACCAUGCACCGAAGCUGCGGCAGCGACACUAUGUGUUGUUGGGUAGGGGAGCG